CCAUUUAUUGACUGUUCUCACAGUUAAAAGAAUGUUAGGUAUGUUAGGGAAUAGUUUGUUCAACGGCUUCGCGUUAGAAGAGAACAACAACACAAGUGUUACGUCUGUAGAGUUGAUAUGACGUUAGAGUCAAAAGAUGGUGCGCUUUGAUUAACAAACAUGAUGCAGCAGAGCUGUCUAAAGGUAGGGAGAGAGAGAGAGAGAGAUAAAAGGCUUGUCUCAUUAUGUCUUGGUUGUUUGUUCCCUUCUUCUCGCUUUCUGGGAAUUCUUGAUCGGUACUGAGAAGAGUUAUCUUCUUACAAACAUGGAGUCAGAUUAUUCAGUCAAUUGGUUGUUUGAGUUUCUGUGGAUCUGCAGGAAUUAUCCACAAGCAGCCUUUUGAAGGACAGCUUUUACCACGUUGCAUAACUACAAGAACAAAGUCUAAGAUGAACAGUUACUGCUGAAGCACCAGCGCCUUUCAUGGGAGGAAAUUGCAAAAGGCUUCUAACUGUGCAUGACGCACUGUGUUUCCCAGCCCCGCUCAGAGGGGGCUGAACAGGAAGGAGUCGUUUCCAGUGCCAUGCCCAGGCCUUUUCCUGCUGAUUCUGGGAUUUUGGCAGUGAAACCGUCCAACUUCCAGUCCUCAGCUUUGUGCGGUCAGCUAUAAAGGACCCGGCGAUCACACCUGCCAGCGUCCUACGGGAUGUUUCACGGGGAUCGAAAUAUGGAAGUUUACACCCACUUUUAUCACCAUUUUUUAUUGUGGGCUUACCCAGAAUGGAACAAAGGAUUGAAAUACUUAAAAAAAAGACAAUGUUUUUAGUUGUUUGUUUUUUUUGUAGAGUAAACUGAAGGUAAUGCUGUGUUUUAAGAGAAUAAAGGCCCAUUAUCACUCACACGGAGGAAGGAAAAUCAUUAAAGAGUAAAGACUGCUAUCCUACGCACAUAUGCACAUCUCUGUAUAUUUCAUCUGAGAAGGACAUUCUUCAAUGCCACAUCACCAUGAAAGGCACAAACAAGCCCUGACUAAAUAGACAGUCUCCCACCACUAAACCCUUAUUAAUUCCUACCCGCUCAUGGAUUAAGUCGUGGAUCCAGACAGCUAAACACCCUGGAUGUGUCUGGCAAAAGCUGCUCAGCCAUUCACAACGCUCUAUGACAGGGCACUACACAUGACCUUCCUCCACAGCCUCCUGUAGGGGGACAUUUGCAAAACAAGUGCUUAGUUUUUAUCGACACAAGGGGAUGGGGAGAGUGGAACUACAUGUAUCGCUCAAACCCUAGAAGGAGGUGAUGUAACGAGACUGUCAUGGUACAUUGCAUCUUUGUUCAUAUGAGCUUUUAGAAUAUAGUAUGCAGCAUCUUGGAAUAACAUAGAUUGACAAAGUGCAAGGCUGUCGUCUGAUGCAAGAAACAGACAUAUUGGUGUAAUUCUGAAAGCUAUGGCUAAAAUAAAUUGUACUGACAUAUUACAGUUUUAUAAAGAGUCCUGAUUUUUUGUUCUCUCUGGUUUAGCAACACAGCAUUUAAAAUAUGACCAUAGGACUGCUGCAAAGAUGACUCAGAAGUACUUCUCAAGAUUUUACUUUGAUUUGGAUACGAUCAGGGAUUCUACUUAAUAGUAACAUUGUAAGUCUUGCAAAAAAAAAUAUCAAAGGAGUUAAAGAGUAACCUUUUUAUUUCUACCUGGGCAAAUGUGUCUAGUUCAAUCAGUGCAUCUGCAGAUGGACUGCGAGUUGCAUAAAUUCUUUCACACUCAAAAAGUAUUUUGCAAGCUAUUUUAGGGUGUGGGAAAAUUAAAAAACUCUUACACAACUGGGGACAGAUAUUUCAGUCAGUGAGAUGCAGUAAGAUUGCAUUUGGUAAGUCAUUUUGCCACAUAUGCACUUGCACAGAAGGUCAAUGGAUCCAAAGGAAAUCAUACGGUUUUCCUGGAAAGAGUU